AAGUCGUAACAAGGUCUCCGUAGGUGAACCUGCGGAGGGAUCAUUACCGAGUUAGGGUCUCACCGGCCCGAUCUCCCAACCCUUUGUCUACUUGACCAUCGUUGCUUCGGCGAGCCCGUCCUCACGGACCGCCGGGGGGUCUUUGUACCCCUUGGCCCGCGCUCGUCGAUAGCCCCCAAAUUUAAAAAAUCUUAACUAAACGUGUCUUGAGUCUAAGUAUUAUUGUUAAAUAAAAACAAAACUUUCAACAACGGAUCUCUUGGUUCUGGCAUCGAUGAAGAACGCAGCGAAAUGCGAUAAGUAAUGCGAAUUGCAGAAUUCCAGUGAGUCAUCGAAUCUUUGAACGCACAUUGCGCCCUUUGGUAUUCCGAAGGGCAUGCCUGUUCGAGCGUCAUUAUCACCCCUCAAGCCCUCGGCUUGGUGUUGGACGGUUUGGUGGAGACCCCCCUCGGGUGGGCUUCUACCCCUCCCAAAGACAAUGACGGCGGCCUCGUUGGACCCCCGGUACACUGAGUUCUUCACGGGACACGUAUCGGACACAUGGGUUUACGGGACACGGUCUGCCUCCCCUCAGGGAGAAUCUUUUUUUAUCAAGGUUGACCUCGGAUCAGGUAGGGAUACCCGCUGAACUUAA
rnacentral:rRNA from 1 species